CGGGGUGAGUAACGCGUGGAUAACCUGCCUUACACUGGGGGAUAACACUUAGAAAUAGGUGCUAAUACCGCAUAAGCGCACAGCCCCGCAUGGGGGAGUGUGAAAAACUCCGGUGGUGUAAGAUGGAUCCGCGUCUGAUUAGCUAGUUGGCAGGGUAACGGCCUACCAAGGCAGCGAUCAGUAGCCGGCCUGAGAGGGUGGACGGCCACAUUGGGACUGAGACACGGCCCAGACUCCUACGGGAGGCAGCAG
rnacentral:rRNA from 1 species